rnacentral:rRNA from 1 species
UCGCCUGUUUACCAAAAACAUCGCUCUUUGAAAAGAAAACUAAAACAUAAAGAGUCCUGCCUGCCCAGUGACAGUAGUUAAACGGCCGCGGUAUUUUGACCGUGCAAAGGUAGCAUAAUCAUUUGCCUUUUAAAUGGAGGCUGGUAUGAAUGGCAAGACGGGGGUUUAGCUGUCUCUCUUUUAGAGUCUUGAAUUUAUCAUCUUCGUGAAGAGGCGAAGAUAAAGUCGUAGGACGAGAAGACCCUAUCGAGCUUUAGCAACAAAUUAAGAUUGAAAACUUUUAUUUUUAGGCUAAUCAGAAAAAAAAUUAGUUUUACCUAGAAAUGAGUAUCAAAAAGUUAGUGGCAUGCUUUGGUUGGGGCAACCGCGGAGAAAAGUUACCCUCCGUUUUGUAAGUAUAAGAAAAAUUUACUGUUUUGUAAAAUUUUAAAGUUAAAAAAUGAUCCACUAAAAAGUGAUCAAAGGAACAAGUUACCGUAGGGAUAACAGCGUAAUUUUUUUGGAGAGUCCAUAUUGAUAAAAAAGUUUGCGACCUCGAUGUUGGAUCGGGACUUCCAGGAGAUGCAGAAGUUCCAAGG